rnacentral:lncRNA from 10 species
CAGGUUUCAUGUUCCUAUGUACAGAGGUCUGGACACGGGGGCCUUGCGGUGCUGUCACUUGAAGCAGGAGCAGGUAUCCACUGUGACCCCACAGUGCCUGACGAAUGUCUCUGCUCAUUUCCUUGUGAAGAAAAUUCUUCUGGGCUAAGGAUGAGUUGUUUUCAGAACACACCGUUUCCAUAUGCUGCUUUCUGACAACUCCUCCUGAUGGUCUACUCUACUCUCAAUGCAAUGCUUCCUCGCUGAGAAUGCCCUGUUAGUGGACAGACCCUGCUUUGCACUCAGGGCUUCUGACCCUCCGCUGCCAUCCCAGGCGUGUGUCCAUGUCUCCCUUCUGCUGCAUACAGCUGAAGUCCUGCGAUUUACUUCCUCCCUGAGGCAGUGUCCCACUCAGGGCACGCCUGUCAUUAUUGUUUCCACUUACCGUGCAGGAACAAGCCAGAAAGACCAGGGAAUUAACACCUCUUGUGAACAGCUCUCACCUAUGGGCACCUCCAGCCCUCACCUCCCUGCUCAAUGGCAGAGCUUGGAGCACUAGGAAUGAAGCUCUCCCCAGAAGUCCCCAUGGGUUGGGGACACUUGUCUACAGCCCUGCCAAAGGCAUGUGCUCAGAGGAUUUGGCAGCAUGGUUUGAUCCUAGCCACGAACAAUCUCUCCCAACUCCGGACACUUUUUGGUAAUGCUGCAUUUAUAAACCACAUGGUUCAUCUUUAUGAAAUGACCAAGCAGAACACGGGUGUGCACAUCUUUGCAUCAGAUACAAACACAACCAGCAUUUAAAUGAGCACCUACAAUGUGGCAGAUUCCAUGCCCAGUGGCUCUUUGUAGCAUUUAAAUAAAGAUUGUUUCUUUAUUUGCAUUGGAGUGAGCUGUAUGGCCUUCGUCCCAUGUCCUGACACUCCUCAUUAGCCUCGAUAGCAUUGUGUUGGUUACUCAUGCAGUGCAAAGA